GAUGAACGCUGGCGGCGUGCCUAAUACAUGCAAGUAGAACGCUGAAGCUUGGUGCUUGCACCGAGCGGAUGAGUUGCGAACGGGUGAGUAACGCGUAGGUAACCUGCCUCUUAGCGGGGGAUAACUAUUGGAAACGAUAGCUAAUACCGCAUAAAAGUCGAUAUCGCAUGAUAUUGAUUUGAAAGGUGCAAAUGCAUCACUAAGAGGUGGACCUGCGUUGUAUUAGCUAGUUGGUGAGGUAACGGCUCACCAAGGCGACGAUACAUAGCCGACCUGAGAGGGUGAUCGGCCACACUGGGACUGAGACACGGCCCAGACUCCUACGGGAGGCAGCAGUAGGGAAUCUUCGGCAAUGGGGGCAACCCUGACCGAGCAACGCCGCGUGAGUGAAGAAGGUUUUCGGAUCGUAAAGCUCUGUUGUAAGAGAAGAACGAGUGUGAGAGUGGAAAGUUCACACUGUGACGGUAACUUACCAGAAAGGGACGGCUAACUACGUG
rnacentral:rRNA from 1 species